UUUAAGAGCACACAAACUUUCUCCUUAUUCACAAAAUUAAGCAUCCACUCUUGCUCUGCUAACUUGUCUCCUCCUGUGUUUAAUUCCUCCUCAAAUUUGUUAAUUUCAAGCUAUGGAUGGUUACAUCCUAAGCCCCCCUGCACAAGACUCGGCUACAGAAGGCUACUCCUCAGCUGCUAAAGGAGGACUUGCUGGUGUCCUCAUCAUGCUCCUUGCUAUCGUCGUUUAUGUAUUCUUCAAGCGCCGAAACUGCCUCGAGGAGGUCAACCCCGGGAAGGUUCAGAUGAUCAAUAUUGUUGAGAUGGGAGAAAGGAGCGUCCAGAAUGGAAAAUAAAUUCAUCAAGGUAGCAAUCCAUGAAGUACUCGGGCGCCUCGACAAAUCAAUUUUAAUUUGUGCUUUAUAUAUAAAUAAAUGACGGCGUGAAUUUUGUGUUGUAGUUAAACUACUAUCUUCAAUUAAAGUCGUCAAAGCAGACAAGGAAUUUUGGGUUUUUACCCUUAUUAUUAUUAUUUUUUGUACUUUACUUG